CCUACGGGAGGCACCAGUGGGGAAUAUUGCACAAUGGGCGCAAGCCUGAUGCAGCCAUGCCGCGUGUAUGAAGAAGGCCUUAGGGUUGUAUAGUACUUUCAGUUGGGAGGAAGGCGUUGAUGCUAAUAUCAUCAGCGAUUGACGUUACCAACAGAAGAAGCACCGGCUAACUCCGUGCCAGCAGCCGCGGUAAUACGGAGGGUGCAAGCGUUAAUCGGAAUUACUGGGCGUAAAGCGCACGCAGGCGGUUGAUUAAGUUAGAUGCGAAAUCCCCGGGCUUAACCUGGGAAUGGCAUCUAAGACUGGUCAGCUAGAGUCUUGUAGAGGGGGGUAGAAUUCCAUGUGUAGCGGUGAAAUGCGUAGAGACGUGGAGGAACACCAGUGGCGAAGGCGGCUCUCUGGUCUGUAACUGACGCUGAGGCUCGAAAGCGUGGGGAGCAAACAGGAUUAGAUACCCUUGUAGUC
rnacentral:rRNA from 1 species